rnacentral:misc_RNA from 1 species
UUAAAUAAAAAUCGGUGUUGUUGCUGCCUUUCGUGGUGACGCGCCGGAAUUGAGUCGUCUUAUCUUCGGUUAAGUGACUUAAAGUUUUAUAUGAUUUUCGAACGUAUUUAAUUUGCUUACGUACGUUUGAGAUAUCGAAUAUUUUAUUAGGUUCGGUCAUCCAUGACUCGCGCCUAUAAUUUUUUCAUU